rnacentral:rRNA from 1 species
UACGAAGGGUGCAAACGUUGCUCGGAAUUAUUGGGCGUAAAGCGCACGUAGGCGGCUUUGUAAGUCGGAUGUGAAAUCCCUCGGCUUAACCAAGGAAGUGCAUCCGAAACUACAGAGCUUGAGUACUUAAGAGGAUCGCGGAAUUCCCGGUGUAGAGGUGAAAUUCGUAGAUAUUGGGAGGAACACCAGUGGCGAAGGCGGCUCACUGGUCCGGUACUGACGCUGAGGUGCGAAAGCGUGGGGAGCAAACAGG